rnacentral:rRNA from 1 species
AUUGAACGCUGGCGGCAGGCCUAACACAUGCAAGUCGAACGAGUGGCGGACGGGUGAGUAAUGUAUGGGAAACUGCCUGAUGGAGGGGGAUAACUACUGGCACCGGUAGCUAAUACCGCAUACCAUCAGAUGGGCCCAGAUGGGAUUAGCUUGUUGGUGGGGUAACGGCUCAACAAGGCGACGAUCCCUAGCUGGUCUGAGAGGAUGACCAGCCACCCUGGAACUGAGACACGGUCCAGACUCCUACGGGAGGCAGAAGUGGGGAAUAUGUCACAAUGGGCGCAAGCCUGAUGCAGCCAUGCCGGGUGUAUGAAGAAGGCCUUCGGGUGGGAAAGUACUUUCAGCGGGGAGGCGUUACCCGCAGAAGAAGCACCGGCUAACUCCGUGACAGCAGCCGCGGUAAUAC